GAGAAAAGACAGAUAGCCAGAGAGAGAAAAAGAUCUGGUCAUGUAAUGUUAAGAUCUUUGCAUUUUUAAAUAUAUAUAUAUUUUUACAAUAUUAGCCUAACUUGUAGCUAUUUUUACAUUUUCACUGAUUUCAUCCAUAGAGAUCUGCACAUUGCUUCCACGCGGAACCUGCUGAUACUGGCUCUGUCUUUCUUCCUCGUCAUGGUGCUGUUGGUAUCCGCAGGCUGCAAUCAAGGAUUCAGCAUGAAGAAAAAACAAUGCAUGGCUCUGUCUUUCUUCCUCAUCAUGAUGCUGUCGGUAUCAGCAGGCUGCCCUCAAGGAUUUAAUUAUAACAGGACGAUAAAAAACUGCUCUGACGUAAACGAAUGUGAAGAGGUUGUGAACCUAUGUGGACAAAAUACAAUCUGCUUUAACACAAAUGGGAGGUACUACUGCCAAUGUAAAGAUGGUUUCAGAAACCCAACAGGGAAGGUGAAUUUUAC